GGAAUACAGGAUACAUCCGUGACGUUCUGUUUUGUUGAAGCUUUUUUUCUGUGAAAGCUGUGGCUGAGAGCAGAGAGACGAUUCAGGCCUAGUGGAGCUGGAACUUCGGCGUGAGCCCGAGACAGGAGGUUCACGUGUCCGGAGCAGUCCAGAGGAAAAAUGGCGGACGUGGAGGCCAUGACGGACGAAGGGAUCCAGCGGAGCAGCCGAGACCAUUUGGGAGAAAGCACCGCGCUUGGCGUCGCUCAUCGGAUGUACAUUUAUGUACGAAACCCCCGUGACAUUUUCAAAAAAAAAAAUUGA